CGCGAGCUACAAAAGAUAAGAGCGGAACAACCGUCUGACGCCACAGACGCCAACACUGACUGUUGUCGGACGUGACGUUUAUUGCAGGUGCCGACGGCAGCGUCAGAAUCAGCUGAUCCUCGUUGCAGUAGCCUCGUUGGCCACAGCUAGCAGCAUUUCUAUGAACGUUGCAUCAAAC